rnacentral:tRNA from 1 species
AAUUAAUGAGCUUGUUAUAAUAAGCAUUUGUUUUGAAAACUUAAGAAAGAAUAAAUAUUCUAUUAAUUU